AGGGCUAUAGCUCAGCGGUAGAGCGCCUCGUUUACACCGAGAAUGUNUACGGUUNGAAUCCGUAUAGCCCUA
rnacentral:tRNA from 1 species